rnacentral:lncRNA from 1 species
CCUUUACAUUCAACAAGCCUACUAUAUAUUUGGACAAUCUGCUGUGUGUAUGUUUCUGCUGCAAUGUUCUGUUCAUGAUAUGAUUGUGACAAGACAAAUUUAAAUGGACAGUUACAAUAAUCCAUUACCAUUUAUUUUCAGAAAUUUUAGCAGAUGUGUGUUUUUUGCAUAGCCUUUUCAUAACAAAACAGAUUCAUAAUCUUAUGCUCCCCUGCAGGCAAAGACUUUCUGUCUGAAAAACAUCACUGGCUUCUAAUUGGAGAAGCAGGCAGAAAAGAGAGGAACAUUUUAAUUACCUUUCGUAAAAUACUUAGCUGGUCUGUGACCACCUUGCUCAAAGGAUGAGGCUGCAUGGAAUCCAGAGACCUGCAGACCUCAGCUGUCUGUGCCAUAUGUGAUGUAGGGCCACUGCAACUUCCACAUCAAUCACACAUUCCUUGGCUGACAUGUCCAUUCUCCAUCAGCCACAGGGCACGCCGAGAAGGGCUGUUGCUGCAUAUUGUCAUGGACACAGCCAGGAUGCAGAGACCCUCCUCCUGCUCCGUCUGGGCAACAUCAACAGCUUUCUUAGCACAUAAACCAAUUACCUCCCUAUCAGUGGAAACCAACAAGGCACUGGAGGAGCAUUAACCCACAACGAGUUGCUCAAGACUUGGUAAAAUUUUUUCAUAAGACUGUUUCUGUCUUCACUGUCAGCACCCCUCAAGCUCAAAGCAGCUCUACAGAAAUGCAAGAAGCCAUUCAGAUUGAUUCAGUGUGAUGAUCAUCAGGAGUAAAUUCAUCUGUUACCUAUGUUCCAGUCCACCAAUGUCAAUGGGACUGUACAGUUGCAAGCAAAGAUGGGAAGGCAGUCUAAGGGCUAAGUAUUUCAAGGAAGGAAUCCCUGACUCAUGACCUUAAAGCAUGGCAGCCUCCAUAAAUCACUUAUCCCUCUACUGGGUUCUUAAUAUCUUGCCUUUGAUGAUUACCCUGAGCCACCUUCUCUUUCCAAAGCAGGAGGAAGGGAAUAGCAGGGAAGAGUGGAAAAAUUGACAUUUCUCUUACUCCCCUCUCUAAGCAAUAUGGAAAACUAAGGUAAAAACUUUAAAAUUCCUCUUUGCUCAUGUGCUUCUCAGUAUAGAGGCAAAGCAGUUGCUAAUUGUGGAACUCAAUUUCAACAGCAUUACUGAAUACGUGAACAACCCCUCCCAUAUCCAGCUAUAAAUCAAUACCCAUUAUAGGACUCAUUCUAGAAAUGUCACACAGGCACAUGCACUCCCCAGCUCAGAUGCAUCAGGGCAGGCCUGUGCCACUCAGGACAGAACUCCUACUUUAUGUGGCUUUGAAACACAGCUCCAUUUCCAUGUAUAGGAAAAUUCAGCUACAUUCAUCUUUCUGCAGUAACACUGAAGGUCAUUUGUAAUGGUGGCCUAAUUUUAGGCAGUAAACUGCCAGUAAACAAUUAUUUAAGGAAGCAAAGGAAAGAGGCAUACUCAAAAAGUCAGAUAGUUUUCAUUCUCUCACCUGGGGAUGUUAAAGCACCAGUUGUAGAAGAUACCAACCGUGCACUUGUCACAGCUUGGCCUUUCCCUUCCAGCACCAGCCAGCUUUGCAGAAGCUGUAGCACCAACAUGGGGCAAAGCAACAGCAGCCUUAAGUCAACACUUCAGUCAACACUGAAUGACUGCUGCAGAACUACCCUAGUAGAUAUGUCUGUUUAUACAAUACCAAAUAGUGUUGGUGGCACUUAAUCACAGUACUUGGCUUACUACUGAUACAUCCCUCUUAAAUGGUUUCUGGUCAUAUUAUCCAUCUCCACUGUAAGUUCACUACUAUUAAACAUUGGUUCCCCUGGAUUAAUUCCCAGCUAAUGAUAUUUUUUUCUGUCCCACAUUUCUGGACUCUAGAAAGUCUAACCCUGUUAGCAGCUUCUGCCUGAGUGCAGCAGAGACUUUCACCUGUUGAUAAGGACAGCCUACUCCAGCAAACAGGGGGUUUGCCUAACCAAAAUUUAGGACCAGUUACAUGGAAAUACGAGCUUUCUCAGAACAAGUCACUUCAGUCUUCACAGACUGAACAUCUCAAGAAAGACUUCUUCCUUGCAAACUACAGCCUCUUGAUAAAAUCUUUUCCUCACCAGCCUUUUCACCCUGUGUAAAUAUUGAUUCCCUUUCCUUCUUCCUCAGCUGUAAGUCAGGUGGGCAUCUUUUCAGAACCAACAGCUUUGGAAAGCAUCAUGACAAGACAUGGAUGCCAUCACUACUGUUUAUUACUCCUUCUCCAUUUAGCACACAAUCUUUAUGCCCAUUACAUGAAAUAAAGUAAGACACAGAGAAAACCA